rnacentral:lncRNA from 1 species
UGCUUAGAAGAUUUAUUUCGCCUAAGCUUUAGUGAUUCGAAUGCUGGAUAAUGAUACAAAAUGAAUAUUAUACAUACACCAGCCGAAACUGUCUCUCCUAAAGUUAAACCAAGUAAACGUGAACAAGAUUCGGAUAAGAUUUAAAAACGAGCAUGAUGGUUAUAAUAUGUGAUUGGUUAGUAAAGUUAUGUAGCUCAGUACAUAUGUGUUCAUUUCUGUGUUUAACUACAUUGAACUUCAAGGAAAUAUCAAUGAAACAGUUUAGUCAAAAUAAUUCGACGUUCAGAUUGUGUUAUAUUUGUGACGGGCAAUCUAAACGUCAAAACUUUGAAGGAAAUAAUGGAAGAUAAAUCACAGUAUACAGUCAUGUAAAGUUAUUGACUAUAUAUCACUUUCGCAUAUUGAAAACAUUUCUACAGGACUACAUUUAUGUGCAGAAGGAUUAAUAAUACUCCAGACAAGUCAGCCAUGACAGAUCUGUAUGAAGUAUGGAAAAUGAUUGUAAACAUUGAUGAACAGGAAAUAAGUUCAUCAUUCAUGAUAAUUGCUUUCUGAUGGACUUGGAUAGACUGUCAAACUAAACGUACAAUGCAGCCAUUGCUGUAACUUUGUUGGGGAAAUUAACAGUUCAUGGCGAACACAUAUACAUGUGUAUAAUGCAAAAUCUUUAAAGUGAAGUAUCUCGUCAGCCAUAGGGUUUACAGCCAUAGGGUUUACAGCAAUUCAAUUUCAUAGGCUUAUAUCGGAUAACAAGUUCAGAAGAUAUUGAUGAUAACAUACAAUACACUGGUUUUCCAACUAAUUGAAGAAUAAAUGUUUGUUUAAAGUAUGGAGGGCCACCAAAACGGAUGAUGAAGAACAUCGUGGAGCUGAAAAGACAAAUCAGCUAUCGAAACGUCUCUUCAAAAAAAAACAUUACAGAAACAAACUUUGAAUAUGGUACUCCUAUAAAGACCAAAAUUAAUAUCUAAAUCGACUUUCAUGGACCAUGCUCAAGAAAUAUUUAAGAAUAAGACUUGCAGCACUGUAUCUCUAGCCAAGAAGCAAAAGUGUAUUAUAAUAGAGACAACAUUAGAAUAGCAGUGAAAAUAUAAGAAAUGAAUAAGUAUUGUUACAUUUGCAGUGAAAAUAUAACAAAAGAAAAAUGUAUGUUCGCAUGUCGUCAGGUUGGUAAUAAAUUUGAAAUGAUAAAAGUGUA